rnacentral:sRNA from 1 species
UGCAUAAGGCUUUCAUGGGUGGUGGCUCAUCCCUUUAUGAAAGGGGGUGAGGCCUAUAUGACAGUUUUCGAAGGAUUGGUCUUAAUGAUCUCGUUCGGAACGCUCAUAGUAGCAAUUCUGUCACAAAAAAAGUAACCACCCUAGCCUGACGAGCAUUUCAUGGUUACUUUUCUCAAAAUGUGAGUCGCCCCCUUUAAGGGCUAUGCACAAACCGUUUGGUGUUCCAGCACCAAGCG